CCGCUGGGUACGACACGCCCGGCUUUAUCACUCCUGAUCAGCUGCUGACUCAGCUGACUCAGGAGGAGCUGUUGCUGACGCUGACGCGGCAGUUGCUGCAGCCCCGCACGUUCUCCCUGUACCGCGGCCAGUCGCUUUUCAUCGCCGGCCUGGCCCGGCUCGACUACAGGGCCGGUCCCAGCAUGGCUAGGCUGACUGUGUUCGCAUCCUCCGAACUCCCCGUCACCGUCACG